CUCUCCCCUUCGCUGAAUGAUUGAGGACUGUGAGCCCAGAAUGUGAAGGACACCUGCUCCAGCAGGAAUAGCUGGGAUCAAAAUCCAAGCUGUAGAGGGAAGCUGCAGGCUCAGUGUGCUGCCUGCUGACCCAAGCUGAGCAGCUGCCAGUGUGACUGUGGAAAAUGUUGAUGCUGAAUUUGCUGAUCCCACUGCAAGGUACAAGUUGUUGGGUGAGCAGCAGAAGAGGAGAAACAGGCCCUACUUCUCACAGACAGAGCUGCCUUUGCUUUCCAGAGGGGUUUUUUCACCGAUGAACUUCCAGAAACUGCCAAAGUUAUGUCCCUAUUGUUGUGGUGGUGUGCUGUGGAUACAGAUGUUCAGAAGGCUCCCGCAUCUGCCAUAUGUUAAUCUGUGCUGCACCCGAGGUUCCAGAAGUAUUUGUGGAAGACAUGAACUUGGAAGUCCCUGCUUCUACAUAUAAUUUAGGCAGUGAGUUUCAAUACCACAUUGAAAAGGGUUGGUUAUGGAGAACUCUGGGCUCUCAGGUGUACAAAUCCACCUGCUAACUGCAGCAUUUUUCUUAAUGAGAGAAGGAAUUAAGUCACUGGAGCAUGAGUACAGGUAAAAAAACCACCUUUCUUAUAUUUUAAGGAAAAGUCACAAAGGGAAUUGU
rnacentral:lncRNA from 1 species